GAUGAACGCUGGCGGCGUGCCUAAUACAUGCAAGUCGAGCGAACGGACGAGAAGCUUGCUUCUCUGACGUUAGCGGCGGACGGGUGAGUAACACGUGGAUAACCUACCUAUAAGACUGGGAUAACUUCGGGAAACCGUAGCUAAUACCGGAUAAUAUUUUGAACCGCAUGGUUCAAAAGUGAAAGACGGUCUUGCUGUCACUUAUAGAUGGAUCCGCGCUGCAUUAGCUAGUUGGUAAGGUAACGGCUUACCAAGGCAACGAUGCGUAGCCGACCUGAGAGGGUGAUCGGCCACACUGGAACUGAGACACGGUCCAGACUCCUACGGGAGGCAGCAGUAGGGAAUCUUCCGCAAUGGGCGAAAGCCUGACGGAGCAACGCCGCGUGAGUGAUGAAGGUCUUCGGAUCGUAAAACUCUGUUAUUAGGGAGGAACAUAUGUGUAAGUAACUGUGCACAUCUUGACGGUACCUAAUCAGAAAGCCACGGCUAACUACGUG
rnacentral:rRNA from 1 species